GGAACUAAACUCGCGAUGCAUCUAGAUUAACCUGGUUGAUCCUGCCAGUAGUCAUAUGCUUGUCUCAAAGAUUAAGCCAUGCAUGUCUAAGUAUAAACGCUUCUAUACUGUGAAACUGCGAAUGGCUCAUUAAAACAGUUAUAGUUUAUUUGAUAGUACUGAUUACUCGGAUAACCCAAGUAAUUCUUGAGCUAAUACGUGCCUCAACGCCCAACUCACGAAGGGUGGUAUUUAUUAGCUUUAAACCAAUCGGCUUGCCGUUUUUGGUGAAUCAUAGUAACUUUUCGGAUCGCAUGGCUUCGGCCGGCGACAAAUCAUUCAAAUAUCUGCCCUAUCAACUUUGGAUGGUAAGGUAGUGGCUUACCAUGGUGGUAACGGGUAACGGAGAAUUAGGGUUCGAUUCCGGAGAGGGAGCCUGAGAAACGGCUACCACAUCCAUGGAAGGCAGCAGGCGCGCAAAUUACCCAAUCCUGACUCAGGGAGGUAGUGACAAAAAAUAACGGUAGAGCGCCCUCGUGGUGUCUCUAAUUGGAAUGAGUACAAUUUAAAAUUGUUAACGAGUAUCCAUUGGAGGGCAAGUCUGGUGAUGCGAACCCGACAGACUAUAAGGAAUCAAGCGUUCCCCUGGAGCUCCCUCGUGGCCCUUUCUGUCCGAACUGCGCUUAUCGGCAUCUGUACGCAUUCCUUCGGGAAGCGUGGGCUUCUCUAUAGACUCACGCGUGUGAGGGAGAUUUCUCAGCUCUG
rnacentral:rRNA from 1 species